rnacentral:rRNA from 1 species
CCUACGGGGGGCAGCAGUGGGGAAUAUUGGACAAUGGGGGGAACCCUGAUCCAGCCAUGCCGCGUGUGUGAAGAAGGCCCUCGGGUUGUAAAGCACUUUCAGUGAGGAAGAACGCCUGGUGGUUAAUACCCAUCAGGAAAGACAUCACUCACAGAAGAAGCACCGGCUAACUCCGUGCCAGCAGCCGCGGUAAUACGGAGGGUGCGAGCGUUAAUCGGAAUUACUGGGCGUAAAGCGCGCGUAGGUGGCUUGAUAAGCCGGUUGUGAAAGCCCCGGGCUCAACCUGGGAACGGCAUCCGGAACUGUCAAGCUAGAGUGCAGGAGAGGAAGGUAGAAUUCCCGGUGUAGCGGUGAAAUGCGUAGAGAUCGGGAGGAAUACCAGUGGCGAAGGCGGCCUUCUGGACUGACACUGACACUGAGGUGUGAAAGCGUGGGUAGCAAACAGGAUUAGAUACCCUAGUAGUC